UCCAUCUUUGAUUUUUAUUGUAAAAAUUGACUUUCGUAUAUUUAGCAUAGAAAAUUUUUGAAAGGAAUAAAAAUUACAAAUUAAAAUUUUAAAAAUUUAUAAUAAAAUUCAAAUAUAAUUUAUAUUGUUUUUUGUUUUGAUCGGAGUAUAAUUGUUAAAUUAAAAGCAGAAUGCCACGCUAUCGUGAAUGGGAUUUGGCUUGUAAAGUUUAUGUUGGUAAUUUAGGAUCUUCAGCUUCAAAAUAUGAAAUUGAAUAUGCAUUUAGCAAAUAUGGGCCUUUAAGAAAUGUUUGGGUAGCAAGAAAUCCACCAGGUUUUGCUUUUGUUGAAUUUGAAGACAGACGCGAUGCUGAAGAUGCAGUAAGAGGAUUAGAUGGAACGCGCUGUUGUGGGACAAGAAUUCGUGUUGAAAUGUCUUCAGGAAAAUCAAGAAGAGAAGAAAGAAGACGGGGAGGUGGUGGAGGUGGUGGACGAGGAGCUGGUCGUUAUCGGAUAAAUUGUUCGUCUUCGUCUUCUACCACUACUAGUAAUUCUACUUCCUCCUCCUGCUACUACUCCACAACCACAACCAAUAAAACCAUCAAUAUCACCAAAACAACUAUUAUUUUAACUACCAAUACAGCCACCAAUUAUAAAACCACAUCUACCACUAUCAUCAUGAACUCCAACAUUUUCACCAAGUCAAUAGAUUUCUACUGUUUUUUAAUUAGUCGUGUUAACAUCAGUUAUAUCAUUUGUGACAGCGGUUUCAACAAUAUAUUUAAGGACAACAAAAACAACGUCCAAAAUCGACACAUCAUAGCAGUAGUGAACUCCAUUUUCAGCAAUAUUUCACCUAUCAAAGUUACAGCUGCUAUUUUUACUAAAUUGACAUUAUUAAAGAAUUUUAUUUACAAUAAUUUAUUCCAAAUUUCACCUAAAAUAUGUAAUUUACUAUUACCUAUCAGUAUUAACAUCCCAAAAACAAAAUUUCCUACCUGAAUCCUGAUGGUCCUAAACUGAAAAUUCUCCAUGGAAGCUCCUAAACGAAACCUAAACGUGGAAAUUUGUUACUCUUUUAAAAAUUUUAUUUAAGUAAAUCUGAAGAGAGCAACAUAGCACAAGGUUUUGAUUAAAACAAUUGCAUUCGUUUCUCUAUGAGACUCUACAAGAAAGGUCAUUGUGUUUUUAUUCACAAUGAGGACAUAUAUAUUUUUUUUGCUCGCCUCAUCAUUCUUCAACAACAACUUCUUCACACAAAAACUACUAAAUCAUCUCCUUUAUUGUGACAUCUUAAAAAACAACUGUAAUUGAACAAAUCAAUAUCACAGUUCCUACUUUAAAAAUUAUCACCAACUCUUCAUAAAAUCGUCAUAAUGAAAAAAAAAUUUCAAUAUCAGUUGAAAACAGUUACACAGCAUCAUCGCUGCAAUGCAAGAAUCACAAAAGCAACUAAUUCAUCUAUUGAAGAUUGUUAGAAAAAAAAAUGCUCCAAAACUUGUAUUCAUAUUGAAAAUCAUAUUACAUAUCACAACAAAAGCUUAUUUGGGGGUUUUGAAAACAAAAAUUUUUGAUUUUGAAGCAAAAAAAAAAAAAACGCAACUCUAAUCAAAAGCAAAUAUAUUUGUUAUUUUUGCUCUUCGUUUCCAACACCGGGUCUCCACUUCACAAAGCUUCAAAAUUGAAAAAAAGCAAAGGCCAAAUUAUAACUUCAAGACACAAUCAAGAAUCAAUCAAUUCUUCAGAUCAACUCAAAAAGAAAAAGUUUUUGCUUUUUAGAAAAAUGAAAUGCAAGUGUUUGCUGGUCCCUACUAGCUACAAUGCUACACUACUUCUACUAACGUUCUUCUAUCGAAUUCAGUUCAUUAAUAAAAAAAUUAAGCAAGUGUUUAGAAAAAAUCUACUUCAACUACUACUGCUACUGUAAUACUGCCACUACUAGUACUACUACUCUGCCAAAGUCACAACCAUCUCCUAUGCUACUAGUUUCUACUCCAACACACCGAAUCGACCACGGCAUCAUUUUAGUGAUCAAGAUCACCUCGAAGAAGUUCACGCAGCCGUUCUAGAAGUUUCUCACGUGAUCGACGUAGCCGAUCAGAUUCUCGACGCUAAAAAAAUAAAAAUAAAAGUAUUUUCUUGGAAAAUUUAAAAAAAAAAUUAAAUCUCCUACAAUUUAAUUAAAAUAUACAUGUAUAAUUAAAAAUUACAUUGUAUUAUAUAAUAAUAAUAUAUAAUAUAUAAGUAUAAAUAUCAAUAAUAUAAAAUACAUGUAUAUAUGUAUAUAAAGAACAAAAAAAAAAAAAAGCGAAAAAAAUUAAAUUUAAUUUUUUUUCCGUACUUUUAAUGGUAUUAAUAAAAAAUUUAAUUAAGAAUAAUAGCAGAAAAAAUAAACAUUAAAAUUAAAACAUUUAUAAAGGCACUAUAAUUAAAUAUCAAAAAUUUACUUAUAUAUUUUAGAUUAGGGUGAAAAAUUGAUUUUUUUUUUUGUUUUUAAUUAUAAUAAAUUUAAAAAAAAAAAAAAACUAUACCUAAUUUAUAUUUUUAAUUUGAAUUAAAAAUCAAUUCUUCCACUGAUACAGACAAAAAUUUUAAUUUUUAACUUGAAAUUUUUUAA